rnacentral:rRNA from 1 species
AGUGAACGCUGGCGGUAGGCCUAACACAUGCAAGUCGAACGGCAGCACAGUAAGAGCUUGCUCUUACGGGUGGCGAGUGGCGGACGGGUGAGGAAUACAUCGGAAUCUACUUUUUCGUGGGGGAUAACGUAGGGAAACUUACGCUAAUACCGCAUACGACCUACGGGUGAAAGCAGGGGAUCUUCGGACCUUGCGCGAUUGAAUGAGCCGAUGUCGGGUUAGCUAGUUGGCGGGGUAAAGGCCCACCAAGGCGACGAUCCGUAGCUGGUCUGAGAGGAUGAUCAGCCACACUGGAACUGAGACACGGUCCAGACGCCUACGGGAGGCAGCAGUGGGGAAUAUUGGACAAUGGGCGCAAGCCUGAUCCAGCCAUACCGCGUGGGUGAAGAAGGCCUUCGGGUUGUAAAGCCCUUUUGUUGGGAAAGAAAAGCAGCAGGUUAAUACCCCGCUGUUCUGACGGUACCCAAAGAAUAAGCACCGGCUAACUUCGUG